UGUGAUUAUAGGUACACAUAUAGAAAAUGUGAUGGAUUGAUGUAUAUUUAAUAUUCAGUUCGUAUCAUUUUUAGUACAUUCGCUGUGUUAUAUAUUUACAACGUCUCAAAGAUAACUGAAAAUCAAUACAUGUGUUAUUAUAUUUGUAUGAUAACUUCACUAUAUAAAGAUUCUGAUACCAAAAAGUAAUUUGUGUGCAAUGUUUAUUAGAUAUUUUCUGUACAUGUUAAAAUUAAUAUUUAUUUACUAU